rnacentral:rRNA from 1 species
AGUGAACGCUGGCGGCAGGCCUAAUACAUGCAAGUCGAACGGCAGCACGGCAGAGCUUGCUCUGUGGGUGGCGAGUGGCGGACGGGUGAGGAAUACAUGGGAAUCUGCCCAGUCGUGGGGGAUAACGUAGGGAAACUUACGCUAAUACCGCAUGCGCCCUUCGGGGGAAAGCCGGGACCUUCGGGCCUGGCGCGAUUGGAUGAGCCCAUGUCGGAUUAGCUAGUUGGCGGGGUAAUGGCCCACCAAGGCGACGAUCCGUAGCCGGUCUGAGAGGAUGAUCAGCCACACUGGAACUGAGACACGGUCCAGACUCCUACGGGAGGCAGCAGUAGGGAAUAUUGGACAAUGGGCGCAAGCCUGAUCCAGCCAUGCCGCGUGAGUGAAGAAGGCCCUCGGGUUGUAAAGCUCUUUUGUCCGGAAAGAAAAGCGCCGGGUUAAUACCCUGGUGUCCUGACGGUACCGGAAGAAUAAGCACCGGCUAACUUCGUGCCAGCAGCCG